rnacentral:misc_RNA from 1 species
GAUCAUUACCGAGUGCGGGUCCUUUGGGCCCAACCUCCCAUCCGUGUCUAUUGUACCCUGUUGCUUCGGCGGGCCCGCCGCUUGUCGGCCGCCGGGGGGGCGCCUCUGCCCCCCGGGCCCGUGCCCGCCGGAGACCCCAACACGAACCCUGUCUGAAAGCGUGCAGUCUGAGUCGAUUGUUUGCAAUCAGUUAAAACUUUCAACAAUGGAUCUCUUGGUUCCGGCAUCGAUGAAGAACGCAGCGAAAUGCGAUAACUAAUGUGAAUUGCAGAAUUCAGUGAAUCAUCGAGUCUUUGAACGCACAUUGCGCCCCCUGGUAUUCCGGGGGGCAUGCCUGUCCGAGCGUCAUUGCUGCCCUCAAGCCCGGCUUGUGUGUUGGGUCGCCGUCCCCUCUCUCCGGGGGGACGGGCCCGAAAGGCAGCGGCGGCACCGCGUCCGAUCCUCGAGCGUAUGGGGCUUUGUCACAUGCUCUGUAGGAUUGGCCGGCGCCUGCCGACGUUUUCCAACCAUUCUUUCCAGGUUGACCUCGGAUCAGGUAGGGAUACCCGCUGAACUUAAGCAUAUCAAUAA